UACGUAGGAGGCAAGCGUUGUCCGGAAUUACUGGGCGUAAAGCGCGUGUAGGUGGUGGGACAAGUCUGCUGUGAAAGCGCCUGGCUUAACCGGGCGAGGUCGGCGGAAACUGUCCGACUCGAGGACGGUAGAGGGGGGUGGAAUUCCCGGUGUAGUGGUGAAAUGCGUAGAGAUCGGGAGGAACACCUGUGGCGAAGGCGGUUGCCUGGGGCUUUGCUGACGCUGAUGCGCGAAAGCGUGGGGAGCGAUCCGG
rnacentral:rRNA from 1 species